UUAGAGUUGCGGAAUCGCUAGAGCAUCGGUCACGUUUGGAGUUGAGAAAGUCAUCACCCAUACCACCUCGACUAGUCUUCUUUGCAACAAUCUGAACACUCGGUAAAACUUGUAGGUGUUCUGGAAAUGAACUAUACAUCUGAUGAUCAGCCGAACCCCUAUGGUGAAAUUUGUAUCAGGGGUCCCAUUAUUUUUCAAGGAUAUUACAAAGAUGAAGUUCAAACGAGAGAAGUCAUUGAUGAAGAGGGAUGGCUGCAUACAAGAGAUAUUAGAACAUGGAUAGCUGUGUAAUAAGGCCUUGGAAGCACAAUAAGAUUCGAGGUG